CCCCAAGAAUACACAGCCAGCCCGUUUUAGAAAUGGCCGUCAAAGACAACAAAAGUGAAAUGCGCAAAUGCCUUCUACGCAGGGUGGUGCUGGGCAACCAGCUCGCGCUGCAGCCUCCCCCACGCUGUUGCUAGGAGAUCGGAGGGCUAUACUUCCAUCAUCUCCAUACUUGCUGGGAGAUUGAGUAAUUGGUGUCUGGAUGUGCGUGUGCUGCUUCCCAAAAUAUCUCUUUAAAAAGACGUGAGAGGGAUGCGGAGCCAGUAGGGAUGGCAAAGCUCGCUAUCACGUGGAUCACCCAGACUCCCUCAUUUUACUGGUUCGUCACAGUACCCAGGAAGAUUUCAGAUGGACCUCAAAUACAAAGGCUGUGAGGAGCCCUAUUCGUUGUGUUGACACCACUGAGAGAUUAUUUUUUCCUGGAGAAGAGACACACCUGACUUUUAACCUCUUUGAUCCCUUAAAAAGUUAUUUUCCCAGCUGGGCACAGUAGCUCAUGCCUGUAAUCCCAGCACAUUGGGAGGCUGAGGGUAAAGCAUUGGCUUCUGUAUCUUUCAAAUUGUCCCAGAGUGAUUCUGAUCCACAGUGAAAACUGAAAACUGUUCUAGUAUUCACCUUGCCAGAAAAAUAAGACUAUGUGAAGUGAACCCUCCUUCAAACUGGAGAAGGAAGCUUUGAGAUUUCCAGGGAAGAUGGAAGACAGAACAGAAAUCACUGAUUUUGAAGAUUGAGAAUUAGAAGUAUUGUACAGAUGCUGUCAUUCCUACAUGAAGGAGGCAGAAGAAUGUAGCAAGUUCAGCUCUCUAAUGCCAGGAGUGGUGCUUUCAGUGACCAGAGCUCUCUGGGUCCUCUGUGUAUCCCUCCCCUGUUAACUGAUUCAAUAGAGGGUGGGCUGGUCCUGGCAUUAGCACAUUCUUGAAUCUGCCUUUGGCUGUGACUUCACCCAAAGACAGAAAGGGGAAGUUUCUGGUCUACAUAGCCAACAUGUAGUCUUGAUAAUAAAUAAUUGCUUGUUUGGAAGAAUUUGGUCUGAGCCUUACCUUUAUUGUAAAAUACUACGUGUAGAUGGCAGAUGGGGCAUGGGACCUUUAGACCUCAUCUAGCUCUAACCAUGGGAGGCUACCAAAGACCCUGACGUUUGGCAAAUGGCCAAAUUUGCAGAGAUCUUAUUGCAAGAGAGGUGUUCCUAAAUCUGAGUUCUAACAUCACCCCUUUUCUAGCUCCAGAGCCCCAUUGCUAGGCAGCUCCCUUCAGCUGGAGACUCAUCCUCCCCUAGACUAAUGAGUGAAAGUGGGUGGGAUUAGUAUUAAGUUGUGCAAAAAGCAAUUGUGGUUUUUGCCAAAGUUGUGUCAAAGGCUGGAAUUGCUUUUGCACCAACCUAAGCACUGGGCCAUAGGAAGGCACCAAAAAUACCUAGCUGGUGGCUGUGGCGUGACUUUUUGCUUAAGCUUAGUGGCUAAAUUCUCACCCUGUCCCUAAUGGCCAAAGUCCUUCCUCAUAUCGCAGGUUCAAUUUAUUUGCUAGAGAUUGUCUAGUCUCCUUGAACUUUGAAUCUGGGCUUUAGCUCCUGCUGAUAACCUCAUUCCUACAGGGCUGGGCCACGGAACUGCUUUAUACCAGUCUCUCAGUGGCCUGGAGCCCAGACCCCGAACCUAAGUCAUAUGGCCAGCCCAGACCCUAACUUCAAGGCUUCCUUAUGCGAGUCAGGUACCUGCCUUUCUGCCUAUUGCCUGGAGCUGAGCCCCCUGCAUUCUUCAAUUUCAUAGAGUUGACUGAGGAUUAAAUGAGUUAAUGUAUGAAACUCCUUGGCAAAUACAAAGCAUUAUCUUUACUGGUUAAUUUCUUUUGACAGUUUUUGACAGCUUUCUUAACUCUUAGUGACUCAGUUUUCUCAUCUGUAAACUGGGAAUAAUAAUAGUACCUGCCUCCUGGGAUAGGUGUAAGGGUUGGAUGAGUUCAGAUUCUGUAGUGGGUUGAAUAAUGUCCCCUCCAAAAAAAGAUAUACCCACCUCCUAAUCUCCAGAACCUGUGAAUAUUAACUUACAUGGCAAAAGUUGUGAUGAAGUUAAAGAUCUUGAGAGAAGGCACUUAUCUGGAUUUUCUGGGUGAGCCCUAAAGGCAAUCCCAUGUAUCCUUAUGAAACAGAUACCCAUCACACCUGUAAUCCCAGCACUUUGGGAGGCUGGGGCAGGUGGAUCAUGAGGUCAGGAGAGCGAGACCAUCCUGGCCAACAUGGUGAAACCCCAUCUCUACUAAAAAUACAAAAAUUAACUGGGCGUGGCGGUGCUCACCUGUAGUCCCAGCUACUCAGAAGGCUGAGGCAGGAGAAUUGCUUGAACCUGGGAGGCAGAGGUUGCAGUGAGCUGAGAUCAUGCCACUGCACUCCAGCCUGGCAAUACAGUGAGACCCCAUCAAAAAAAAAAAAAAGAAAGAAAGAAAAAGAGAAGAAAAUAAAGAAAGAAAGAAAAGAAGAAAGAAAAGAAAAGAAGAAAGAAAAGAAGAGAAAAGAAAGGAAAGAAAAGAAAAGAAAAGAAAAAAGCAGAUACCCAGGGGAGAAGACACAUGAAGAGGAGAAGGUAAUUUAAUGAAGAAGGCAGAGACUGAAGUGAUGUAACCACCAGCAAGGAACGUCUGGAGCCACCAAUGGCUGGGGCAAGUAAGGAAACGAUUCUCCCACAGAGCCUUCCGAGGGAGUGCAGCUCUGCCAACCUCUUACUUUCAGAUUUCUGAUCUCCAGAAUUGUAAGAAAUUAAACUUCUGUUGUCUUAAGCCACCUAGUCUGUGGUAAUUUAUUACAGCAGCCACAAGAUACUAAUACACAUGUAUAACACCCUGGCACAGAAGAAGGAUUCAUUUUGUUGAUUUAUUCUAAAAGUAAGUAUGUCUGUUCUAAUGAUGUUAUUAAUAAUAAUACUUCAGGAACAUUUUUCUCAUCCAAGAAAAUAGGCACCCUUAUGCAUGCAUGGAAGGAGUAUUUGAAGAGGGAAGGCCAGAUAGGAUACACAGGGAAGCAAGAGAGGGCUCUGGGACACGGCUUCAGGUUUGGAAUUUAAAUCGAUACCAUUAUAAUUGUACCAAUAAUAGGAAUAUACAAAUGUAGUCUGGUAAAAGUCAGGAUCUUUAAUAGUCCAAACUGGAUUGUGGCUCGCCAAGGCACUAGUCAUUAAACUUUCCUCCUUCAAUCCACAGUUUCUUUGAGGGGAAUGUACACAAGUCAUUUUGCCCCUUUUAUGGCAUUGCAUUUUCCAAGUCUCUGCUGAGUUUUCACCUGAUCGUAUUUUUUUUAACUCAAGAAAAACAUAUCUGCACCACUGAGAGGAGGUAUUCAGGAGGCAGUGUUUCUGAGGAUUCUGAGUUUUGGAGCAUCUAUAGCCAAGCCUAUGGCAGGAAUGUUGCCCAGAUGCUGGUGUGCCUCUCAGAGGGUUGAGAAGAAGAGGCCAGACCCUGGGAAAUCCGGCUGUGAAAUACUGAGAACAACAACGUGGGCAGACCAUUCUGAUGGUAAGGAAGAGACAGCCUAUAGGACCCCUGAAAAGCCACCCUAAUUUUUUCCUCCCCCACCAUUAUGAUUUCAGAAACACCGGUGCAUACAGAGGCCAAGAGAGUGAGGCAUUUUUAAUUCAGUUACUUCUACUCCUGAGUCAUUCAGAUCCUCAAAGCGGCCCCAACCCUAGGGUGCCACAAUACACGCAUCUCUUGGGAUGUUUCCAAGGUUUAAUCAUUUCAAAACCCUGGUGAUUCUGUCUUCUUGCUCUGUGCUGUCCAACAUGGUAGCCACUAGCCAUAUGUGGCUAUUUAAAUACAAGCAAAUUGAAAUUAAAUAAAAAUUCAAAUUCAGUUCUUUAGUCACACUGGCCAUGUUUCAAGUGUCCACUAGCCACAUGUGGGUAGAGGCUACCAUAUUGGACAGUACAGAUAGGGCAUUUAUAUUGUUGCAGAAAGUAAAGCAAUUGACAGCGACAUUCUAGUUAUCUAAGGUAUAAGAUGAAAAUAUCAGAAUUAUGGAUAGAUCAGACAGGAAACUUAUUUCUAUGACUAACGACUUACUCUCACUACCUUCAACUAAUGAGCACUACAAGCAUCUACAGUGAUCCUAUGUAAAAAUACGUACAUAUAGCUAGGUGCAGUGGUGUGCACCUGUAGUCCCAGGUAGUCAGAAGCCUAAGGCAGGAGGAUGGCUUGAGCCCAGGGGUUUGAGGCUGCAGUGAGCUAUGAUCAUGCUUGUGAAUAGCCAGUGCACUCCAGCCUGGGCAACAUUACAAGAUCCUGUCUUUAAACAAAACCAAAACCAAACACAGACAUAUAUACAUAUAGAAUAAAGAGAACACCAUGCUUGUGGAAAUUCUAUACAUUUUUAAAAAGUAAUCAUCAUGUCAUUUUUAGCCUCUCUUUUGGAGUAUGUUAUUUAUUGUAAGACAUCAUUUUUAUUAAAUACACUGUAGUACAAGAGACUUUCCAUGUCAGGUUGAGAGAAGCUGGUCACAUGAUUUACAACAAAACUUUUUUUUUUU